AGCGACGGCCAAAUACCUUAUUCUUUUCUACUUGAACAAAGACAAACAGCACCAAAAUAUGUCUCUUCUCUCUCGAUUCCUAUCUUCUCCACCGAAACCGAAAUUUCCCGCCAUCAACUUCGAAUAAUCUUUACUUAAUUUCGACUUUAAAGUUUAGAGCUUCGAUUUGAUUGAAUAUUCAAUCAUCACCAUCUAACCUGUAACCUAAAUUCGAAAUUGGGUCAAUUGAUUGAAUCACUUCAGAAUUUGGUGAGUAUUCUCAACAAAUACUUCCUGAUUAAUUUGGGUGAAUAGUCUUCUCUUCAGGGUUUUCAGCUCUCUUCUCGGAGGAAGGUAAGAGGUCUCUGAUCUUGGCGCAUGUAGUAUUUUCAAUCAAGGUUAGUUGUUCUGUGCUUUUUCCCUGACUGCAAUUAGAGAUUUUUGGCGCCACUUUGUUAUUCAAGUUUCUUCUUUGAAGGAUAAUCCUGAAAUAUGAAAAACUGUUUGUUGGCGUAGUUUAUUCUAGGGAAUGAUUUAUCAUGUAAUUGUAAUUCAUCAAUCUAGCAAUAAGGUAGUGGCAGCAAAACAGAAUAUUCCUUGAGCACAGGUUUCACUCUUAUGCAACACUAUCAAAUAAUCGAUCACUCAGUACUUGAACCUAAACUCAACGGCCCUACAAAUUGCAUUCAGAUUCAUGAAAAGUGCAAUCGGUUCAUGUUCUCUUCCUGUACAAGGAUAGCUUGGCAUCAUCUUUCCAGUUGUAUUGUUGUGUAUAUGUGAUCAACUAAGAGUACAGAGUCUACGGACCAGACAAGUGCUAUUUGGAUCGUUUGUGGGAGACCAUUAAAAGAGACCAAAAAGAGUUGAUUAGGAGAUGGGAUUGUAACUAAAAGGCAGUGUGGGGUCUAUGAGCCCUAUAUAUGGUUAGAGCAACUGCAGUGGUGCAAUCAUAAUCAAAGACCAAGGACCAAAAAAAACGACCAAAUUUAAGUUUAGUCCGUGGUGUUACACUAGGAUGGAAAAGUAAAUUUGGUCGCUAGGAAAAAGUAUACACCAGGAUCACAUUAUAUGCCCGUCCCAUUACCAGGAUCACAUUAUAUGCCCGCCCCAUCACCAGGAUCACAUUAUAUGCACGCCCCAUCAGCCAUCAGGCGAACUUUAUAUGUACGCCUCAUGAGGAUCACAUUAUAUGCCCGCCCCAUCACCAGGAUCACAUUAUAUGCACGCCUCAUCAACAGGAUCACAUUAUAUACCUGCCCGGUGACAAACGAAAAUUAUACGUUCGCUCGACUAUAUAUAGUUUUGGUCUUGGUCCCAGACCAAAUAUAGUCUGGAAUUUGAUUUUGGUCCGGCUUUUAGUCUUUACUCCGUCCCGCUGUGUCUCGUCUCUGGACCAUAGUUAUAGGUUUGAUCGUCCACUGUGGACGCUCUUAGGAUCUAUUGGUGGUCUUUAUUUCUCGGAUCCAAUAUCAUUGUUCAUUAGGGGAACAGUUCAGGUCAUCGAAACCAUUUUAUUUAUAAUAUAAUUGUUCUGUGACAUUUUCAGAUUGUAAAGAGGUUUGAGCGCACAUUAGCCUCGAAGCGUAUGCUUAAACUUUGAUAUUUCCUUUAAAUUAUCCUAUGUAGAUGUGUAUGUUCUCGAUAUGAUGGAUUUUGUAACAGCUAUGAUGAAUCUUGUUUGUUUAAUACAAUCAGGUUUCAGUAUCAUCUAUUGGCACCAGUAUAACGAUGAACUAUAUCUCAGAUUCUUACACUGGACUCACAAACUAGAAAAGCUGAUCUCUUCUCAAGUAACCCAGUCCAAAUACCACCACAGAUCAGUCCGAAAACCAAGCCUGAGUUAUUAGAUAUACUGAGAGAAUAGAAUGACGAGAAUGUUUAAGAAGACAACUAGGUAUGCAUCAAGAAAACAGUACGCAGAAACUAGACCUUGAGUUAAAAAGUUGAUUUCUCCAACCUGUUCAAACCACCACAUUCUUACCUCAUUUCUCAGAAGACAUUUCGGAUGGUGUAGUUCAUCACAGGAGGGUGCACGUAACUGGAAAUUGUGUUAAUUAGUUGUAUCUAAUUUAUUUUAGAACGCCGUCGAUGAUUAACUGAUUGUCAUUAGACAUUAGAGGCAUAAAAGAUAAAUUGUGUUUCA